AGAAAUCAUUACACUAUUAGUGUUGGGCAAAGUGAGGAGCAUGACUCUUUCUCACUUAGAGGAUGAUUCCCAUGUAGUGGGUUUGUGGACGUGUGAUUUUAGAUUUAAGUUGCUCUUGAAUCUCAAAGGUUCAGAUAUUAGGAUGAUUCAAGUAUUUUUUUAAUUCACUAAGAAAAACAAUAUUAUUCUGGCUACAAGGUAGAUUACCUGUAAUAAUUAAUCUAUUCCCAAUAAUGAUGAAGGUAAAUUCCCCAGAUGUAAUUCCCCAGAUGUUGUUAUGUGGAAUUUCUUCAUUAUUAACUUACACUGCUAUUGCCAGAUAAUUUUUUAAUUUUGGGAAUAUUUAUAGGUAGUGUAAUUAAAUGCUAGUCAUUUUCCAAAAGUCCCUCUUAGUCUCCUAUCAGAUAUACUCAGAAGGAUGGGUCCAAAUUUACAAACUUGAAUGGUUUAAGCACCAAACAGAUAACAUAAAUGAGUGUAAAAGGCAGAGUAUAAUAUGGUAGGGAGUGAAGGGAACCAGGGUCAAGUUGAAAAUAGGUGCCAUGUCUAAAAUUGUCCAAAUUAAAAAUUACAUUUCUUAAAACACGAUUGUGGCAAAAUGAAUAUGUUUGUGAGCCAUGCUGGGGUUAUGGACUGCUAGAUUGCAACAUCUGCCUGUUUAUUUUUUUCAAAUAAUUCAUCUGGUAAAAAGAAGAAGAAAUAACCAGAUGUAGUCCAGGGUAAGGUAGAAUUUCUUAAUCUUUAUUCGAUUCAGGAAGAUUGGACCAUGUUUAUGGGGAGAAAUAUUAUAAAUUAUAAGGAGAAUAAAAAGAAUGAAUUGAACAGGUGCCAAACCUGGAGGAAACCUGUGGAGACGGAGAAUUCAACUUUAUAUAAAGUAGGGAGGUAGAUUCUCUUCUGAGCCUGAAGCCUAACUCUGAGAUUCAGUGAACUUCUCAUCUCUCAAGCCCCUACUCAAAACUAAUCUCAAUGAGGCCUCCUGUGACCAGCCAAUUUAAUUUUGCAGGCGCUCUGGCACUCCUGAUCCCUUUAACCUUGCUCUACUUUUCCUUUCUCCAUAACACUAACAUUAUAUAACAAUAAGCAAUAAACAUCAUAUGUAUGCUGUAUACGAUGGUCAUUGCUUACUGUCCAUUUUCCUUGCUAGGUUGCAAGUAGAUGACGGUAGACAUCUUUGUCAUUUUUAUCCUCUGAUGUAUCCCAAGGUCCUAGAAUAGAUCUUGAAACAUGGUAGUCUCUCAAUAAGUAUUUAUUGAGUAAAUGAAAAUGUAAGUGGUCACAGGUAUGGAUAAUUUCAGGUAGCAAAUAAAUUUACUGUUGAGUAAUUUCAUAUUCUUGCAAAACAGGAAGAAGGGCCAUCUGUUCAGAGAUAAGGAUUUCAAGGAGUAGCAGGGUCUUUGAGUAGAAGGAUGAAGUUAAUAAGACCUUAAGAACCUAAAGCCGUGAACGGAAAAUUAUCUGGCCUGCUCCAUCGAAACCCUGUCUGAAGCUGGACACUUUAAUUUUGCAAUGUCUCUUUUACAGACUUUCAAGAAUAGUGGGGUACAGAAUUGGGAGCUAUAACGGACCCACACAUCACUGGAAAUUGCCAUUCAAGAAUCUAGAUGGCUAAGAGCUGACACAGCAGCCAUCGCUUGCUUUCACAACUGUGGAGCUAGCGGGUAUUCACGCCAUCGCCAAAGGCUUCUGUCCUUAUUAAUCACACGUCUGAAGGAACAGAUCAUUGCUAAGGGACUACAGGUUAAGGAUAGCCUGUGCAGCUGGAUUCUGAGAAGCCACUUGCUUUUGAAUGGCCAUGGAUGUGGGCAAUAUGACUAGUAGGAACUGCUUUUAAAACUCAAGGUGCAAGUAAGUUCAACACUGUCCUUUCCCAAUUAGGUGCUACCUGAUCUGCCAUCAGGAAAUCCCUUUAAGGAUUCCUUCUCCUAACUGUCUAGACACACAUGAAAUACCUGGAGUCUGAUUCUUCUGUUGUUGCUUUUGUCUCUGCCACAUACUAUCGCUCCUGAAAACCAAUUUGAGAAGACUGCAGUCUGAGAGAAGAUGCUGGUCCCCUGUGGCAAUAACAGCCCCCCUUGCCAGUCCAGAACUGCACAGGCCACGUUGUCCUGUGGGGCAGGAUGAUCCAAUGUCCUCUGACUAGGCCUGCACUAUACCCACACUCCCAAAAUUGCAGAGCCCCAUGUCCAUUCUCAUAUAAAGCCUCCUAAGGACCAAGUCUAACCAGAGACAAGGAUUUCUUCUGGAAUAGCCCUUUCACACACCCAGAACUGCUGUCCUCCUUCCUCCUUCAAGGAUCUCUAGUUCUCCGACAACUUCUGAGGAUAUGCUCGUAUUUACCCUGCACCCACCCUGCUGGGAAGCUGCUGUGGCUGCAUAUAACUUGUUCUUCCUGAGUUAUAUCAAAGGGCCCAAACAAACCCUCUCAGAGGGGCUGUUUUCAGUGAUUCCAAGGUGAUUUUUUAUUCCUUUCUCACUACAAAAAAGGAAAAAGAAUGUGUGUGUGAGUGUGUAUAUAUGUGUGCGUGUAUACAUAUACACACAUAUACAUACACAGACACACACACGCUACCAAUUUUACAUAUUCGCAGAAUUUCGGACAUGGCCCCCAGCCACAGAUAGACCGUACAAAAUACUGCCAGGGAAUCCCCACUCUCCUCUUAGUCUGAAUCCCCUUGCUGUUCCCCACUCAGCUGCCUUCAUCUCUGCUGUGGUUUUGUUUCCUGAACCCUUUUGACUGGGAUUAGCUCCUUCUAGACAACUUGCUGUGUGUCCCAUACUGCUGUUUGGACAGUAGUCUGCAAGCAUCCUCUCCAAUUCUCUGCUCCACCAGCAGGGAUCUCCUUCUGUUACUGUGUAUUUAUUUAUUAACCCCCUGCAGAAGGCCAUCUAAGACACAGAUGAAGAGUUGCCUGCAUAGUUCAACAUUUUAUUAUUCAGGUGAGUCUUUGUCUUGAUAAAGUAGUUUUAUUUUUAAAAUUUAAAUGAAAUUGAAGAAGAGAUUUGACACACAUUUACCCAUUAAAUAAUUAAUGAUACAAAAUGUUCUUAUAAAUGUUUAAGGUUGUUCUCCAUCUGAGAAUUUAAAUUACCUCUUUCUGUAUUUUAAAAUUAUUAGAUCUGCCUCCCACAUAGCAGUCUCUUAGAAAUGCCUCUCACAGAACUGUUUGUUCACCUUUAGAAAUACUGGUUUGGAUGGAUUUUCCAAAAGAAUGGGUACUCUUUUUAGGAACUCCAAGACACUAGGGUUUCUGUUUCCUUUUGUUUGUUCUAUGGAGUAUUUUGAUUCCAAUAACACCAACACAUCUUUCUAAUGUCUUUUUGUUUGUCAUUAUCGAAAUAACUCUUUGGUUCGAAGUUCUCUUGUUCUCUACGUAUCAAUAAAGCAAGUGGAGAGUCAGCUAAUGACAGCCUCCUGCGGAAAAUAAUCUGCAACAAAACAAAACAAAAUUUAAAAAACACCGUGGAGAAGAAUAAAAUUAAUGACAGUGGCCUGACCCUGACAAGAAACUGUUUUCAUUUUAUGUUUUAUUUUCUUUAGGUUGUAAACACAAUGACUUGAUGUGUCAAGCAGGUUGCAAUGUUAAUAACAUUUAUAGGCGCAUGAUUUGCAGCAAACACCUGAUUAUGGUUGACUUCAUUUAAAACUAAGCCCUCUGCAGAGGGCAUAUUAAUAUUCGCUGUUUGCUGCUUGGGAUGCAUUCCGUUUGUCACAACCUGAAGCCUCAGAAGGCCAAAGGAGAACAUUCUAAUUAACCCUGGGCGAGUUGUAGUAGCGCAGAAUUGUUUUGUUUUAUUUUGUUUUCCUUUUAGUAACUGGAAUAAAGCAUAUAACCAGAGUUUUGAGACCACAGACAGGGUUCCCCUGGUAAAAGCUCUGCCAGCAGCACCACAGACUGUUACUGUGAGCAACUUAUUGGCUCCAUACAAUUUGUAUCACUCAUGUUUCCUUGAAUUACAACCAUCAGGAUAGU